rnacentral:rRNA from 1 species
AGCGAACGCUGGCGGCAGGCCUAACACAUGCAAGUCGAACGGACCCUUCGGGGUUAGUGGCGGACGGGUGAGUAACACGUGGGAACGUGCCUUUAGGUUCGGAAUAGCUCCUGGAAACGGGUGGUAAUGCCGAAUGUGCCCUUCGGGGGAAAGAUUUAUCGCCUUUAGAGCGGCCCGCGUCUGAUUAGCUAGUUGGUGAGGUAACGGCUCACCAAGGCGACGAUCAGUAGCUGGUCUGAGAGGAUGACCAACCACACUGGGACUGAGACACGGCCCAGACUCCUACGGGAGGCAGCAGUGGGGAAUCUUGCGCAAUGGGCGAAAGCCUGACGCAGCCAUGCCGCGUGAAUGAUGAAGGUCUUAGGAUUGUAAAAUUCUUUCACCGGGGACGAUAAUGACGGUACCCGGAGAAGAAGCCCCGGCUAACUUCGUG